rnacentral:lncRNA from 1 species
UUUUUUUUUUUUUUUGUAUUUUUUAGUAGAGACGGGGUUUCACUGUGUUAGCCAGGAUGGUCUCGAUCUCCUGACCUCAUGAUCCACCCAUCUCGGCCUCCCAAAGUGCUGGGAUUACAGGCUUGAGCCACCACCCCCGGCCUUCUGCUGAUAGUUUCUUUUGCUAUGCAGAAGCUGUUUAGUUUAAUUAGGUCCCAUCUGUUAAUUUUUGCUUUUGUUGCUAUUGCUUUUGGUGUCUUCAUCAUGAAAUCUUUGUCAUUUCCUAUGUCCAGGAUGGUAUUGCCUAGGUUGUCUUCCAGGGUUUUUAUAGUUUGGGGUUUUACAUUUGAGUCUUCAAUCCAUCUUGAGUUAAUUUUUGUAUGUGGUAAAAGAUAGGGGGCCAAUUUCAUCCUUCUGCAUAUAUGGCUAGCAAGUUAUCCCAGUGCCACUGAUUGAAUAGGUAGUUCUUUCCCCAUUGCUUGUUAUUAUUGACUUUGUUGAAGAGCAGAUGGUUGUAUGUGUGUGGCCUUAUUUAUGGGCUCUCUAUUCUGUUCCUUUGGUCUAUAUGUCUGUUUUUGUGCCAAUACCAUGCUGUUUUGGUUACUGUAGUCCUGUAGUAUAGUUUGAAGCUGGGUGGCUUCAAACAAAUUCCUCCAGCUUUGUUCUUUUCUAAGGAUUGCCUUGGCUAUUCAGGCUCAUUUUAGGUUCCAUAUGAAUUUUAAAAUAGUUUUUUCUAGUUCUGUGAAAAAUAUUAUCGGUAGUUUAAUAGGAAUAGUAUUGAAUCUACAAAUUGCUUUGGGUGAUAUGGCCAUUUUAACAAUAUUGAUUCCUCCUAUCCAUGAGCAUGAAAUGUUGUUCCAUUUGUGUCACCUCUGAUUUCUUUGAGCAGUGUUUUGUAAUUCUCCUUGUAGAGAUCUUUCACCUCACUGAUUAGUUGUAGUCCUAGGUAUUUUAUUCCUUUGUGGCAAUUGUGAAAGGGAUUGCAUUCCUGGUUUGCCUCAUAGCUUGACUCUUGUUGGUGUAUAGGAAUGCUAGUGAUUUCUGUAAACUUAUUUUGUAUCCUGAGACCAUGUUGUCUGCAAACAGGGAUGGUCCGGCUUCCUCUCUUCCUAUUUGGAUGCAUUUUUAAUUGUUUUUUGUUUUUUUUUUAGACAAGGUCUCACUCUGUCACCCAGGCUGGAGUGCAGUGGUGCAAUCUCAGCUCAUGGCAACCUCCACUUCCUAGGCUCAAGUGAUCCUCCUGGUUCAGCCUCCUGGGGAGCUGGGACUACAGAUAGAAGCCACCAUCCCAGGUAAAUUUUUUUUUUUUUUUUUGUAGAAACAAAGUCUCACUGUGUUACCCAGGCUGAUCUCCAACUCCUGAGCUCAAAGCGAUCCACCUGCCUCAGCCUCCCAAAGUGCUGGGAUUACAGGAGUGAGCCACCGUGCCUGGACAAGAUGUCUUUUAUUUAUUUCUCUUGCCCAAUUGCUCUGGCUGGGACUUCCAAUACUACAUUGAACAGGAAUGGUGAGUG